AUGGGUAGGAAAUGCAAAAUACCAAAAAAAUUAGUUGUACCUACUGAACCAAUGGUUGAAGAACCACUCAAAAUCUAUCACACUGCUGAAGCUUAUUACUUGGAUCAUCUUCGAUCCCUAUGUGCUCGUGCUGAAACCCCAACUAGCUUAGUUGAGGGCAAAUCUUUAUAUGAGGAUGCUUGUUAUGUGCAACACCGAAUAUCUGAAAAAGGGAAACUUUUACUGGAUCAAAUUCAUCGUUUGCAAUGCUAUGCUUGGAAUUUAUGUGAAAUAUAUGAUUAUACUUGUUGUUCUGAAAACCCUAAGAAACACCUUCCCUACCAAUGUGAGUUUGUUGAUAAUGGAAUCGUAUCUUCGUAUGCUAAGGGUGUUUAUAAUUACUAUGAUGUUCAACAAAUUGAAGAAUUUGUUGCUUUUAAGGGUGCUUUUUAA
rnacentral:rRNA from 1 species